rnacentral:rRNA from 1 species
GACGAACGCUGGCGGCGUGCCUAAUACAUGCAAGUAGGACGCAGUUGCGAACGGGUGAGUAACGCGUAGGUAACUACCUAUUAGAGGGGGAUAACUAUUGGAAACGAUAGCUAAUACCGCAUACUAGUAGAUGGACCUUCGUUGUAUUAGCUAGUAGGUAUGGUAAUGGCCUACCUAGGCAACGAUACAUAACCGACCUGAGUGGGGGAUCGGGCACACUUGGCCUGAGACACGGACCAGACUCCUACGGUAGGCAGCAUGAGGGAAUCUUCGGCAAUGGGGGGAACCCUGACCGAGCAACGCCGCGGGAGUGAAGAAGGUUUUCGGGUCGUAAAGCUCGUUUGUUAAGGAAGCGGUACUUAACCAGAAAGAGACGGCUAACUACGUGCCAGCAGCCGCGGUAAUAC